rnacentral:rRNA from 1 species
AUACGGAGGGCGCAAACGUUGUUCGGAAUUACUGGGCGUAAAGCGCGCGUAGGCGGUUUGUUAAGUCAGAUGUGAAAGCCCAAGGCUCAACCUUGGACGUGCAUUUGAAACUGGCAGACUUGAGUACUGGAGGGGAUGGUGGAAUUCCCGGUGUAGAGGUGAAAUUCGUAGAUAUCGGGAGGAAUACCGGUGGCGAAGGCGACCAUCUGGCCAGAUACUGACGCUGAGGUGCGAAAGCAUGGGGAGCAAACAGGAUUAGAUACCCCUGUAGUCC